rnacentral:rRNA from 1 species
AUUGAACGCUGGCGGCAUGCUUUACACAUGCAAGUCGAACGGCAGCGCGGGCUUCGGCCUGGCGGCAAGUGGCGAACGGGUGAGUAAUGCAUCGGAACGUGCCCAGUAGUGGGGGAUAGCCCGGCGAAAGCCGGAUUAAUACCGCAUACGACCUGCGGGUGAAAGCGGGGGACCGAAAGGCCUCGCGCUAUUGGAGCGGCCGAUGUCGGAUUAGCUAGUUGGUGGGGUAAAGGCUUACCAAGGCGACGAUCCGUAGCUGGUCUGAGAGGACGACCAGCCACACUGGGACUGAGACACGGCCCAGACUCCUACGGGAGGCAGCAGUGGGGAAUUUUGGACAAUGGGGGCAACCCUGAUCCAGCCAUGCCGCGUGCGGGAAGAAGGCCUUCGGGUUGUAAACCGCUUUUGUUCGGGAAGAAAUCCUCUGGGCUAAUACCCCGGGGGGAUGACGGUACCGGAAGAAUAAGCACCGGCUAACUACGUG